rnacentral:rRNA from 1 species
UGAUCGCGACCUCAGCUCAGGCGGGGCUACCCGCUGAGUUUAAGCAU